GACGAACGCUGGCGGCGUGCUUAACACAUGCAAGUCGAACGAUGAACUUGGAGCUUGCUCUGGGGGAUUAGUGGCGAACGGGUGAGUAACACGUGAGUAACCUGCCCUGAACUCUGGGAUAAGCGCUGGAAACGGCGUCUAAUACCGGAUAGGACCUUGCACCGCAUGGUGUGGGGUGGAAAGUUUUUCGGUUUGGGAUGGACUCGCGGCCUAUCAGCUUGUUGGUGAGGUAAUGGCUCACCAAGGCGUCGACGGGUAGCCGGCCUGAGAGGGUGACCGGCCACACUGGGACUGAGACACGGCCCAGACUCCUACGGGAGGCAGCAGUGGGGAAUAUUGCACAAUGGGCGAAAGCCUGAUGCAGCAACGCCGCGUGCGGGAUGACGGCCUUCGGGUUGUAAACCGCUUUUAGUAAGGAAGAAGCCUUCGGGUGACGGUACUUGCAGAAAAAGGACCGGCUAACUUCGUGCCAGCAGCCGCAGUAACAC
rnacentral:rRNA from 1 species